rnacentral:rRNA from 1 species
CAUCUGGAAAGAUGAAUCAAAGAAGGUAAUAAUCCUGUAGUCGAAAAUGUUGUCUCUCUUGAGUGGAUCCUGAGUACGACGGAGCACGUGAAAUUCCGUCGGAAUCUGGGAGGACCAUCUCCUAAGGCUAAAUACUCUCUAGUGACCGAUAGUGAACCAGUACCGUGAGGGAAAGGUGAAAAGCACCCCGGAAGGGGAGUGAAAUAGAACCUGAAACCGUGUGCUUACAAGUAGUCAGAGCCCGUUAAUGGGUGAUGGCGUGCCUUUUGUAGAAUGAACCGGCGAGUUACGAUUUGAUGCAAGGUUAAGCAGUAAAUGUGGAGCCGUAGCGAAAGCGAGUCUGAAUAGGGCGUUUAGUAUUUGGUCGUAGACCCGAAACCAGGUGAUCUACCCUUGGUCAGGUUGAAGUUCAGGUAACACUGAAUGGAGGACCGAACCGACUUACGUUGAAAAGUGAGCGGAUGAACUGAGGGUAGCGGAGAAAUUCCAAUCGAACCUGGAGAUAGCUGGUUCUCUCCGAAAUAGCUUUAGGGCUAGCCUCAAGUGAUGAUUAUUGGAGGUAGAGCACUGUUUGGACGAGGGGCCCCUCUCGGGUUACCGAAUUCAGACAAACUCCGAAUGCCAAUUAAUUUAACUUGGGAGUCAGAACAUGGGUGAUAAGGUCCGUGUUCGAAAGGGAAACAGCCCAGACCACCAGCUAAGGUCCCAAAAUAUAUGUUAAGUGGAAAAGGAUGUGGCGUUGCCCAGACAACUAGGAUGUUGGCUUAGAAGCAGCCAUCAUUUAAAGAGUGCGUAAUAGCUCACUAGUCGAGUGACACUGCGCCGA